rnacentral:rRNA from 1 species
AAUAGAUACCCAGGUAGUCCACGCCGUAAACGGUGGGCACUAGGUGUGGGCGACAUUCCACGUCGUCCGUGCCGCAGCUAACGCAUUAAGUGCCCCGCCUGGGGAGUACGGCCGCAAGGCUAGAACUCAAAGGAAUUGACGGGGGCCCGCACAAGCGGCGGAGCAUGUGGCUUAAUUCGACGCAACGCGAAGAACCUUACCAAGGCUUGACAUACACCGGAAACGUCCAGAGAUGGGCGCCCCCUUGUGGUCGGUGUACAGGUGGUGCAUGGCUGUCGUCAGCUCGUGUCGUGAGAUGUUGGGUUAAGUCCCGCAACGAGCGCAACCCUUGUCCCGUGUUGCCAGCAGGCCCUUGUGGUGCUGGGGACUCACGGGAGACCGCCGGGGUCAACUCGGAGGAAGGUGGGGACGACGUCAAGGUCAUCAUGCCCCUUAUGUCUUGGGCUGCACACGUGCUACAAUGGCCGGUACAAUGAGCUGCGAUACCGCGAGGUGGAGCGAAUCUCAAAAAGCCGGUNUCAGUUCGGAUUGGGGU